AGCGAACGCUGGCGGCAGGCCUAACACAUGCAAGUCGAACGAACUCUUCGGAGUUAGUGGCGGACGGGUGAGUAACACGUGGGAACGUGCCUUUAGGUUCGGAAUAACUCAGGGAAACUUGUGCUAAUACCGAAUGUGCCCUUCGGGGGAAAGAUUUAUCACCUUUAGAGCGGCCCGCGUCUGAUUAGCUAGUUGGUGAGGUAAAGGCUCACCAAGGCGACGAUCAGUAGCUGGUCUGAGAGGAUGAUCAGCCACAUUGGGACUGAGACACGGCCCAAACUCCUACGGGAGGCAGCAGUGGGGAAUCUUGCGCAAGGGCGAAAGCCUGACGCAGCCAUGCCGCGUGAAUGAUGAAGGUCUUAGGAUUGUAAAAUUCUUUCACCGGGGACGAUAAUGACGGUACCCGGAGAAGAAGCCCCGGCUAACUUCGUGCCAGCAGCCGCCGUAA
rnacentral:rRNA from 1 species